rnacentral:rRNA from 1 species
UGAGGAAUAUUGGUCAAUGGGCGAGAGCCUGAACCAGCCAAGUCGCGUGAAGGAAGACAGUCCUAAGGAUUGUAAACUUCUUUUAUACGGGAAUAACGGGCGAUACGAGUAUUGCAUUGAAUGUACCGUAAGAAUAAGCAUCGGCUAACUCCGUGCCAGCAGCCGCGGUAAUACGGAGGACGCGAGCGUUAUCCGGAUUUAUUGGGUUUAAAGGGUGCGUAGGUUGUUCGGUAAGUCAGCGGUGAAACCUGAGCGCUCAACGUUCAGCCUGCCGUUGAAACUGCCGGGCUUGAGUUCAGUGGCGGCAGGCGGAAUUCGUGGUGUAGCGGUGAAAUGCAUAGAUAUCACGAGGAACUCCGAUUGCGAAGGCAGCUUGCCAUACUGCGACUGACACUGAAGCACGAAGGCGUGGGUAUCAAACAGGAUUAGAUACCCUGGUAGUCCACGCAGUAAACGAUGAUUACUAGGAGUUUGCGAUAUACCGUCAAGCUUCCACAGCGAAAGCGUUAAGUAAUCCACCUGGGGAGUACGCCGGCAACGGUG